rnacentral:tRNA from 1 species
AGGUGAGUAGCUCAGUUGGUAGAGCGGCGGUCUCCAAAACCGCAGGUCGCAGGUUCGAACCCUGUCUCACCUGCCA